rnacentral:rRNA from 1 species
UACGGGGGGGGCAAGCGUUGUUCGGAAUUACUGGGCGUAAAGGGCUCGUAGGCGGCCAACUAAGUCAUACGUGAAAUCCCUCAGCUUAACUGGGGAACUGCGUGUGAUACUGGAUGGCUUGGAUUUGGGAGAGGGAUGCGGAAUUCCAGGUGUAGCGGUGAAAUGCGUAGAUAUCUGGAGGAACACCGGUGGCGAAGGCAGCCCCCUGGGUUAACACUGACGCUCAGGCACGAAAGCGUGGGGAGCAAACAGG